AUGGCCACCGCCGCCGGCCGGCUGCUCCCCUUGCUCCUGGUGCUGCAUGCGUUGCUCGUCGUCACCGCGGCCGCAGUCUCCGGUGUCGCGUACGACCACCGCUCCCUCAUCAUCUCCGGCCGCCGCCGCCUUCUCAUCUCCACCUCCAUCCACUACCCGCGCAGCGUCCCCGCGAUGUGGCCCAAGCUGGUGGCGGAGGCCAAGGAGGGCGGCGCCGACUGCAUCGAGACCUACGUCUUCUGGAACGGCCACGAGACCGCCCCCGGCAAGUACUACUUCGAGGACCGGUUCGAUCUGGUGCAGUUCGCGAGGGUCGUCAAGGACGCCGGGCUCUUCCUGAUCCUGCGCAUCGGCCCCUUCGUCGCCGGCGAGUGGAACUUCGGGGGUUUGCCUGUGUGGCUGCAUUACAUUCCCGGGACGGUGUUCCGGACAAACAACGAGCCAUUCAAGUCUCACAUGAAGGGCUUCACGACGAAAAUCGUGGACAUGAUGAAGAAGGAGCGGUUCUUCGCCUCGCAGGGCGGGCACAUCAUCCUAGCUCAGAUUGAGAAUGAGUAUGAAGGUACCGAACAGGCAUAUGGGGCUGGCGGCAAGGCAUACGCAAGGUGGGCGGCUAGUAUGGCUCUGUCUCAGAACACCGGCGUCCCUUGGAUCAUGUGCCAGCAGUCCGAUGCCCCAGAUCAUGUGAUAAACACCUGUAAUUCAUUCUAUUGCGAUCAAUUCGAGCCAAAUUCGCCAACCAAGCCAAAAAUUUGGACAGAGAAUUGGCCAGGAUGGUUCCAGAAUUUUGGUGAAGCUAAUCCCCACAGACCCGCCGAGGAUGUUGCAUUUUCUGUUGCGCGUUUCUUUGGAAAAGGUGGCACCGUUCAGAAUUACUAUGUGUACCAUGGUGGAACAAACUUUGGUCGCACUACUGGGGGGCCCUUCAUUACAACUAGCUAUGACUAUGAUGCACCAAUUGACGAAUAUGGCCUUAGGAGGCUUCCAAAAUGGGGACAUCUGAGGGAGCUUCACAAAUCCAUAAAAAUGUGUGAACAUAGUCUGCUUUAUGGAAACUCAACGUCGUUUUCUCUUGGGCCUCAACAAGAAGCCGAUGUUUACACCGAUCACUCAGGAGGAUGUGUUGCAUUCUUAUCUAACAUUGACUCGGAAAAGGACAAAGUUGUCACUUUCAGGAAGAGAGAAUAUGAUCUUCCCGCCUGGUCAGUUAGCAUCCUACCUGACUGCGAUAAUGUGGUUUACAACACAGCGAAGGUUCGAUCUCAAACUUCGAUGGUCGACAUGGUUCCAGAAACUUUGCAAGCAUCGAAACCUGAUCAGUGGAGUAUUUUCACGGAGAAAAUUGGUAUUUGGGAUAAAAAUGACUUCAUACGAAAUGGAUUUGUAGACCAUAUUAAUACGACAAAAGACUCUACUGACUACCUGUGGCACACAACAAGUUUUAAGGUAGACAGAAGUUACCCCACAAGUGGGAAGCAUCCAAUUCUUAAUAUCGACUCCAAAGGCCAUGGUGUUCACGCUUUCCUGAAUGACAUGCUUAUAGGUAGUGCAUUUGGUAAUGGCUCAAAAUCAAGUUUCAGUGUGCACAUGCCCAUCAACUUGAAGACUGGGAAGAAUGAAAUUGCACUAUUGAGUAUGACUGUUGGAUUGCAAAAUGCAGGAGCCCGUUAUGAAUGGGUAGGAGCGGGCCUUACAACUGUGAACAUCUCUGGAAUGGAAAAUGGAACCAUGGACUUAUCUUCAAAUAAUUGGGCGUACAAGAUUGGGUUGGAAGGCGAACACUACAGUUUGUUCAAGCCCGAUCAAGGGAAUAACCGAAGGUGGAGUCAACAAUCCGAGCCACCAAAGGAUCAACCUUUGACAUGGUACAAGGUAAAUGUUGAUGUUCCACAAGGAGAUGACCCAAUUGGGCUAGACAUGCAGUCUAUGGGGAAAGGCCUGGCCUGGUUGAAUGGAAAUGCCAUAGGGAGGUACUGGCUUAGGACUAGUUCUUCUGAUGAUAGGUGCACUCCUAGCUGCAACUAUAGAGGGCAAUUUUCUCCAGACAACUGCCGGACUGGAUGUGGGAAGCCAACUCAAAGAUGGUACCAUGUACCAAGGUCAUGGUUUCACCCAUCGGGGAACACCCUGGUGGUUUUUGAGGAGCAGGGUGGGGAUCCAACAAAGAUCACAUUCUCAAGAAGAGUUGCAACAAGUAUUUGCUCCUUUGUGUCAGAGAACUAUCCUUCUAUUGUUGACAUGGAAACAUGGGAUAAAAAUAUGCCAGAUGACGGCAGAGUUGCAUCUGAAGCACAGUUGUCUUGCCCCAAGGGCAAAAUUAUCUCCUCAGUUAACUUUGCGAGCUUCGGAGACCCUAGUGGAACUUGCAGAUCCUACCAACAAGGAAGCUGCCACCACCCAGACUCCCUAUCUGUUGUUAAGAAGGCAUGUCUGAACAACAAUGGCUGCACAGUUUCACUAGCAGACAGGGGAUUCGGAAAAGAUUUAUGUCCCCGGGUCAUCAAAACACUUGCGAUUGAAGUGGACUGCUCUUAG
rnacentral:rRNA from 1 species